UACGGGGGGUGCGAGCGUUGUCCGGAAUCACUGGGCGUAAAGGGCGCGUAGGUGGCUCUGUAAGUUUGCGGUGAAAGCCCGGGGCUCAACCCCGGGUCUGCCGUGGAUACUGCAAGGCUUGAGUACUGUAGAGGCAGGUAGAAUAGCGGGUGUAGCGGUGGAAUGCGUAGAGAGGCGAGAGAAGACCGGUGGCGAAGGCGGCCUGCUGGGCAGUAACUGACACUGAGGCGCGACAGCGUGGGAAGCAAACAGG
rnacentral:rRNA from 1 species